rnacentral:rRNA from 1 species
GACGAACGCUGGCGGCGUGCCUAAUACAUGCAAGUAGAACGCUGAAGGAGGAGCUUGCUUCUCUGGAUGAGUUGCGAACGGGUGAGUAACGCGUAGGUAACCUGCCUGGUAGCGGGGGAUAACUAUUGGAAACGAUAGCUAAUACCGCAUAAGAGUAGAUGUUGCAUGACAUUUGCUUAAAAGGUGCAAUUGCAUCACUACCAGAUGGACCUGCGUUGUAUUAGCUAGUUGGCGGGGUAACGGCUCACCAAGGCGACGAUACAUAGCCGACCUGAGAGGGUGAUCGGCCACACUGGGACUGAGACACGGCCCAGACUCCUACGGGAGGCAGCAGUAGGGAAUCUUCGGCAAUGGACGGAAGUCUGACCGAGCAACGCCGCGUGAGUGAAGAAGGUUUUCGGAUCGUAAAGCUCUGUUGUAAGAGAAGAACGAGUGUGAGAGUGGAAAGUUCACACUGUGACGGUAUCUUACCAGAAAGGGACGGCUAACUACGUG